CAGGCUUGAACUUUUCCUCAGAUGGAUUUUAAAUAAUUUUAAAGUUAUAGGAUCUCUGUAUCUAUAAGCUAGGUUGUCUUUGGCAACAGUAGAUAAUGUCUUACUUGAUGAAUACAUGUACUCUAUCUAGAUCACAGCCAUUAUUUUUAUUUGUUCUUCAGGUUUUAAGUUUUACAAUUUUACAUGCGGGUAAUUCCAUAAGAAGCUUAGCCCAUUUAUGCAAAUACAGUGUUGUAGUGCCGUAGGUUGCGACAAUUUUGACCUAAAACUUCAUGUUACACUAAUAAUUUGUGUUUUUGUCCAAUUUGAAAUCCCAGCUUUGU
rnacentral:misc_RNA from 1 species